UAUCCAUAAGGGCCAUCCAGAACCGAAAUGCCGGCAAGUUCUCUCUGCAUGAUCAUUUUGGGCCUUGUUAGUAAAAUUUAACUGAUAUCCCUCAUGGCAAAAUGAGCAUGGUGUGCACAUCUGGAUUACCCUUUCAAUUUAGGGAGAGUCUAAGCGAAUGCAUUGAAUCAAAAAAUGAGAAUACGAGAACUUGUGCCCAUUCUGCCCCAGAGAUACAGCAACCCCGGUACUAUUGUAUUGUGCCUCUUUCAUUUCAUACACAGAUGGC